CUUUGACUAGAGUGUCACGUCUGAGAGAAACAUGCUUGGACUCUGGAUGUCACCAGAAAAAACUUGAAGCCAAUAAUCCAUCAAACUACAGAUGGUCAUGGAAAUGAAACUCUGAAUGACAUCUUCCCAUCUUCCACAGUGCCUUAGAUCGUCUGCCUCCAAUGGAGCCCCAAUACCCCUUGCUAUGUCCCUUUUCAGUUUGCACAGUGGAUAGCUGACGCUCCUGUUGUGGGGGCUUAUGGCCAUGUGGGCCUCCACACAUGGACUAACAGGCUUUAAUUAGCUCGGAUGCUGAAC